UACCAGCACCCCGAGUGGUCGGGACGUUUUAUUGGGCCUAAAGCAUCCGUAGCCGGUUCUACAAGUCUUCCGUUAAAUCCACCUGCUUAACAGAUGGGCUGCGGAAGAUACUAUGGAGCUAGGAGGCGGGAGAGGCAAGCGGUACUCGAUGGGUAGGGGUAAAAUCCAUUGAUCCAUUGAAGACCACCAGUGGCGAAGGCGGCUUGCCAGAACGCGCUCGACGGUGAGGGAUGAAAGCUGGGGGGAGCAAACCGG
rnacentral:rRNA from 1 species